CCUACGGGUGGCAGCAGUGAGGAAUAUUGGUCAAUGGACGAGAGUCUGAACCAGCCAAGUAGCGUGAAGGAUGACUGCCCUAUAGGUUGUAAACUUCUUUUAUAUGGGAAUAAAAUGUUCCACGUGUGGGAUUUUGUAUGUACCAUAUGAAUAAGGAUCGGCUAACUCCGUGCCAGCAGCCGCGGUAAUACGGAGGAUCCGAGCGUUAUCCGGAUUUAUUGGGUUUAAAGGGAGCGUAGGUGGAUUGUUAAGUCAGUUGUGAAAGUUUGCGGCUCAACCGUAAAAUUGCAGUUGAAACUGGCAGUCUUGAGUACAGUAGAGGUGGGCGGAAUUCGUGGUGUAGCGGUGAAAUGCUUAGAUAUCACGAAGAACUCCGAUUGCGAAGGCAGUUCACUGGACUGCAACUGACACUGAGGCUCGAAAGUGUGGGUAUCAAACAGGAUUAGAUACCCUUGUAGUC
rnacentral:rRNA from 1 species